rnacentral:rRNA from 1 species
GACGAACGCUGGCGGCGUGCUUAACACAUGCAAGUCGAACGGAAAGGCCCUGCCUUUGUGGGGUGCUCGAGUGGCGAACGGGUGAGUAACACGUGAGUAACCUACCCUUGACUUUGGGAUAACUUAAGGAAACUAGGGCUAAUACAGGAUAGGAGCUUCUGCUGCAUUGUGGUGGUUGGUAAGUUUCGGCGGUUGGGGAUGGAUUCGCGGCUGAUCAGCUCGUUGGGGGGGUAGUGGCUUACCCAGGCUUCGACGGGUAGCCGGCCUGAGAGGGUGACCGGCCCCAUUGGGACUGCGAUACGGCCCAGCCUCCUACGGGAGUCAACAGUGGGGAAUAUUGCACAGUGGGCGGGAGCCUGGUGCGGCAACGCCGCGUGCGGGGUGACGGCCUUCGGGUUGUAAACCGCUUUCGCCUGUGACGUAGCGUGGGUGACGGUAGUUGGUUAAGAAGCACCGGCUAACUACGUG